UUGUUCAAAACUCUUCGCGAAUCUCUGCCUCCGUCUCACUCUCGAGUCUGAGGAGUUACCAGCUUAAGCUCUACGGCCUCAUUCAGUGAAAGAACCGAAGAGGGCCCUAGUCCUUGUUAAAGCUUUUGCAUUGCGACUUUCGCAACCUCUUCUAAAUCAAACAGCACUGGGGUUUGAUCUAUAAGCCUCAGUGAUGGGUCGUAAGAAAAGGCGUGGGUUACAUUCUAAUAUUGAAUGCCAGCCUAGACUGCUCCCAACAUAUUGCAACAGUGACUUAGCUGCCAUCCAAUUUCCAGCAUUGAUAAAAAAUCUUUCUGCUGAUCCAUCUCGAUGAUAUGAUUGCCAUUCUUCUUAUGUGGAUUUAGCUUUCGAUUGUGAUUUUUGUUGUUGUUGAGAAAGGAGCUUGACCUAUAUAAGUUAUGGAAAACACUUUAUAAUCCACGUAUUUUUUUUUUCCCAAAUUCUGUCGUAUGGGUCGAAAACCAUGUAUUUUAGGUUGUCUUUUGAUUGUGGGUAACUAUUAUGUUUCCCCUGGUCCAUUUUGUGUAACAAAAUUUGUGUAUAUGUUUUGGGAAAAUCAAUGCUGGAUGGGUUUUGUGUAAUGGGCUGCUAAGUUUUUGCGGUUUUGGUUGUUUGGUAGUGGCUUUUCAUGUUACUAGUGUUUUAAAUAUAGUGUUCAUGGAUGCCAGCCCUUAAUUUUUGUGACAGGUUUUGGCCUUAAUUUUUGGCUUGAGUUGAUCGUUAACUUGUUCUGUUCUUGGUUAUGUUGUGCAUCUAUUUUGUUGAUGUGUUUAGUUAAUCUCUUACUCAUAUGUGUUUGUGUGUGUGUUCUCUUUUGGUAGGAAGAAUCUGUGCAAGUCCCAAAAGUUCCAGUGCAAAGUUAAUUUUUCCCCUUUUAGUUUGAAGAGAAUGUCUGCUUGUUUGUCUGUUUUUUAGUUCUAGCAAGAUUCUAUUUGCCCCCUCCUGUACAGUUAAUCCCCACUUUCCCACCCUUGAAUUCAUUUUCUUCGUCCAUAUUUGAUUUCUGCAUCAAUUGUACACAAGCAUGGCUAGAUUUAAGCAUCUUUGUUUGGUUCAACAGGCACUAGGGCCCUCUUGCCAUGUUAUAAUGGUUGAUUACUUGUUCAUCUGACCAUACCUUUGAAUUAACUAUGUCGAAAGGUUUUGCAUAUUGUACCUUUUGUAGUAGGAGGAUUAGCCAUAAUCAGCUCAUACGUCUAUUCAUUCAUUUUAUGACAAGGUACAUAUGGUCUGGUAUAAAUAGAAAACACUAUUGUUUGGAUAAAUUUGAGUAUUCUCAGCUCUGGCAACUUCUUUGACUUGCUCUGAAUUGGGUAAAUAGAAAAGAAUGUCACUUUAUCUGGCUGCAGGUAGAAGUGCAUAUUAGCAAUGCACCUAGAGUGAUAUGUUGUAUUGCUUUACUUAUUAUAGAAAAAAUAAGGAAAGAUUGUAUUGUUUGCUGAAAAUGUAUAAUAAAAUGACAAUGCAUUACUAAAAAAAGACAGUAUUCAAUUA